rnacentral:rRNA from 1 species
CGGUCCAAACUCCUACGGGAGGCAGCAGUGGGGAAUAUUGCACAAUGGGCGAAAGCCUGAUGCAGCAACGCCGCGUGAGUGAUGAAGGCCUUCGGGUCGUAAAACUCUGUCCUCAAGGAAGAUAAUGACGGUACUUGAGGAGGAAGCCCCGGCUAACUACGUGCCAGCAGCCGCGGUAAUACGUAGGGGGCUAGCGUUAUCCGGAUUUACUGGGCGUAAAGGGUGCGUAGGCGGUCUUUCAAGUCAGGAGUGAAAGGCUACGGCUCAACCGUAGUAAGCUCUUGAAACUGGGAGACUUGAGUGCAGGAGAGGAGAGUGGAAUUCCUAGUGUAGCGGUGAAAUGCGUAGAUAUUAGGAGGAACACCAGUUGCGAAGGCGGCUCUCUGGACUGUAACUGACGCUGAGGCCCGCAAGCGUGGGGAGCCAACAGGAUUAGAUACCCUGGUAGUCCACGCUGUAAACGAUGCGUACUAGGUGUCGGGGGUUACCCCCUUCGGUGCCGCAGCUAACGCAUUAAGUACUCCGCCUGGGAAGUACGCUCGCAAGAGGUCAACUCAAAGGACUUUACGGUGACCCGCACAAGUAGCGGAGCAU